rnacentral:rRNA from 1 species
UUGUCCUACGGGACGCAGCAGUAGGGAAUCUUCCACAAUGGGCGAAAGCCUGAUGGAGCAACGCCGCGUGGGUGAAGGAGGUCUUCGGAUCGUAAAACCCUGUUGCUAGAGAAGAAAGUGCGUGAGAGUAACUGUUCACGUUUCGACGGUAUCUAACCAGAAAGCCACGGCUAACUACGUGCCAGCAGCCGCGGUAAUACGUAGGUAGCAAGCGUUAUCCGGAUUUAUUGGGCGUAAAGGGAACGCAGGCGGUCUUUUAAGUCUGAUGUGAAAGCCUUCUGCUUAACCGGAGUAGUGCAUUUGAA